UCUUAAAGUAAUAAUUUCAUUUAUGAGUAGUAAUAUAAUAUAAUACAAACUGAAAUCUCAUGGCGGCAAAAAUAAAGUAUAGGGGAACUUACCACGUAAUAGAUAACCCCCAAGCGGAAGCUACCUCCAUACAUAGUUUGUAUACCGUUGUUAUCAAGUAUAUCUAAAAGGAAAUAUUAAAAAACAAAAUUAAUAAUAUGUAACUUAACAAAUCAAAGUGCAGCCAAUAUGGAGGAGUAGGCGAGUUACAAUAGGAUAAAUAAUUUACCGAAGGUAGGUGUACUCUUUACCUGAAGAUGGACUUAUAAGUAAAAUAUAUUAACAUUAAUAUUAGAAUAUAAUAUAUUUUUGUGC
rnacentral:rRNA from 1 species